GUUACAUCUCAGCCUUUUGCCUAAGGUCAGGUGUAGUGUGUGUUCUUAGCAGUUUAAUAUCUGAUAUGUCCUCUAUCCAGCACAAUAUAUUAAAUGGAUUUUGGAACUAGGAGAUGGAAUAGGAGCUUUCUCCAACCACGCCGUGCAUUGACCUGGUAUUGCAGUACUUCCAGGAGCGGUGCACCCCCU
ensembl:snRNA U2 U2 spliceosomal RNA